rnacentral:lncRNA from 1 species
CCGAUGAUGCGUCCGCAAGAUGAGGGCAAUGGAGAGUGAGAUCUGACCUCGCGUCUGUAGUUACCUGCCCAACAACACAGGGAGAGGCAGUAACUUGACCGGCUCCGUCUUCGGCUUCGUUCUGUCCUUUUGGCAGCCUGAAUUGGGGUCCUGAGCUUUUACUUUCACACCGUCCUCCACAGUUUCCUAAAUGGGAUCUGGAAUGCUUCUUCCCUGGCACGCCUGUGAGAUCUGAGGCAGAAGCCAGUGUACAGAAACAGGUGUCGCAUCAGUAGGCAUUCUCCAGAGGCCGACCAAUAUAUUGGAGAGACGGAUUAAUAGACGGAUGAUAGUGGGUUUGUCAGGGGAAUUGGCCCAUGCGGUUAGGGAGGCCGAGAAGUCCCGGGAGGGAUGCCAUCUGCAAGCCGGAGACCUGGGAUGCUGGCAGCCUGGCUCGGUCCAAGUCAGGAAACGGAAGAACCAGGGGAGCUAAAGGUGUGACUCAGGCCAGGGCUGAAAGCUGAGAAUCCAAGGAGCCGCUGGUGUUAAGUCCUGGAGUCCCAAGGCUGGGGGCCCUGUCCAAGGGCAGGAGGAGGAAGAGAGAGUCCCAGCGCCAGGAACAAGAGCAGAACUUCUUU